AGUGAACGUUGGCGGCGUGGAUUAGGCAUGCAAGUCGAGCGAGAACCGUAGCAAUACGGGGACAGCGGCGAAAGGGACAGUAAUGUGUAGGUACCUACCCCGAGGUCUGGGAUAGCUGCGGGAAACUGCAGGUAAUACCGGAUAAUGUCUUCGGACCAAAGGUGUGAUUCCACCUUGGGAGGGGCCUGCAUCCUAUUAGCUAGUUGGCGGGGUAAUGGCCCACCAAGGCGACGAUGGGUAGCGGGUGUGAGAGCACGUCCCGCGUCAUUGGGACUGGGACACUGCCCAGACACCUACGGGUGGCUGCAGUCGAGGAUCUUCGGCAACGGGCGAAAGCCUGACCGAGCGACGCCGCGUGCGGGAUGAAGGCCUUCGGGUUGUAAACCGCUGUCGUAGAGGAGGAAAUGCAGGUGGGUUCUCCCAUCUGUUUGACCUAUUCUAGGAGGAAGUACGGGCUAAGUUCGUGCCAGCCGCCGCGGUAA
rnacentral:rRNA from 1 species